GCGUGGGUGGCGCUGAAAAACUGCGACUUAAAAAGAUGAAGUCUCUGGAGGUGGAGGCUGCUAAAUAUUCUAAAUUGACGGACCUAUUUGGUGCCGGGGUCACCACCCCAGCAGGUGCUGCUGCGCCGGGAGACGAGCGAGUGGAGGCAUACAUGGUUGUUCUGAUAUAUUUGAGGAGUCGUUCUCCCUCUGUUCUAUAUGUGGACUUGUUCUCUCAUUUGGGACCACUGUUAGAAUUUGGUUGACCACUUGACAUGUGAGAGCUUGCGGAGUUGUUCCCCCUCCGUCCAUUUUCAAGGAUUUGCUCCACUUCACCACUUUGUGGCUACUGAGAAGUCUAUGAUUUGUUGAGUUGACCACCCUAUAUAUGAGAGCCUAAGGAGUUGUUUUCCCUCUGUCCCCUUUUGAGGACCUGCUUUGUCUCCUCCAUCAUUCACUGGGCCACUUUUUGGUUCCUGGGCUUAUUUAAUGUGGUUUUCCUGACCUGCUAGAAGUUCUUCUAUGAUGCUUGAGUCUUCCAUCAUAUCUGAGAGCUUCGUCUUGACUUUGUCACGAAUUUGGUGAGGAGUAGAGCUGGCUGUCUGCGGACCAGGAAGUAGAGCAAUACAUACUUGUGCACAUACACGUAUAUGAGAAUGCAUAUCUAUUCAGACCUGUAACCCAUGUCUUAGACUUUUCACACAGCUAUAUAUAUAUAUAUAUUUUUUUCCAAUUCUCUAUUUAUGGUUUCAUAAUGACUGAGUCACCGUUGAGUGAGUGAGUUUCAGCUCUAAUGCUGCUACUGUCUGUAAUAUGUUUCUAUUCAGAUUAUUUGUCAGGAUAUUUUUUUGUUAUUAUUGUCCGAGUCUGGUUUGAACUAAUACUGGGCUUACACCAAAAGAUGUUCACUGUCACAGACUAAAAACUGAAAGGGUAGCAUAAGGGUUCUUCCCGUUAGUCUCGUCCCACCCCUAGUCAUGACAUAACUUCUGUUGUGAUUUGACACUAUAAUGAAUAAAGAUUGAUUGAUUGAUUGAU